CUGUUUUGUCCUAUCACCCUCUGUCAAUACCCAGACAAGUGAAACAACCUUUGUAAUUAAAAAAAAAACAGCAAACCAAACCCCCAAACAAUUUCCUGUGUACUUCCUGCUAUGGAACAGGAGGACAUUAGAGGAGAUCAGCUGUAUCCUUGGGGUUUUUUUGUCAGCAAAAUAAGAACAUCAGAAUUAUGAAAAUGUCCAAACUCAAUCAAGUGUUCAUUAGCAUUCUGGGGAAUCACUUCAAUUAAAGAAAACUCUUAUUUUGUCUGCAUCACUAGGGAGAUGCAGACUAAAAUUGGAAUGUAAAUGUGCUUGUAUUUUAGAAUGAUUUAAUGUGACAAUCUUUCUAUUUGCAAAUGUCCCAGCAAAGGGUCACAGUUUAACAUUAAAUUCACAGAAUAAAAUGCAAGUUAAAAAACAUGCCAGAACAAUUUACAGGAUGCUGUUCAAUUUUCUGGUAAAGAACACAUGAAGAUUUUUUACAUUACAUUUUUCUUUGAGACUUUACAUGCUGCCAGUUCUGAGCCAUGAAUUGUUUGUGUUCUUAAAUUCCAGUUUGGGAAGUUUACUAAGGUACUAGCAAGAAGCUCUAGCAAAGUUUCCUUUCAUUUCCAAACCACUUCAGUGUCUUUUCCCACUGAUGGGAUAAAUGGGCUGAGCAUUUUCAGCUGCAUCUCAGGUAAAACCAAUGAAAAUCAAGCCCUUAAGGCUCUGAUUUUCAGAGUGCUUAACUUUAACUGUAGCUGCAGGUAAUUGGAGCUGCUGGGGUACUGUAACCCUGAAAACUUGAAACAAUGCUCUCUUUCUGAGGAGGAUGGUCUUUGGAUUAUCAAACUUGCCUGGCAAUGUGAGUUACAGGUCUUCCUGCAGGCUAUUUGGAGUCCUUGCAGCUGUGAGGGAAUUGCAUGGCAGAUCCAGGUUGCCUUAGUUUCUCCUUGGAAGAAGAUUGUUCUAUCCCCAGUCAGAAGAUUUUCUAACAGAGGCAUCAUUCUCAGUGGGAUCACUGUAGGGGCAUUAUUACAGCAUAAUUAGGCUCUAAUAGGCCUCAAACUGUGCUGAGAACUAUCUACAUAUUUAUUUCAGCACCUCUAAAAGCAAAUACAAACAAAUAAUAUAAAUGAAAAAAUGUUUUCUGUGAGGAAAUCUGACAGUGUAAAUAUAGAUUCAUGUUGGUGUUUCAGGAACUUUUCUUAGUCCUUACUGUACAGGUGGAGAGAGGGUGAGCUUCCUUUUUUUGUAUUUCUUUUCAUAACUUGGUUUUAUAUUGAGAAUUUAGCUGCCAGCCCUUCCUUGACAACAGGCAUAUAAAUGAGAGUCAUGUAAACCAAACAUGUACACACACACAACCCUUUCACUCUGGCAUCUUUCUUACACUGCAGAGCAGCUCCUGGUCAAUUCCUGCUGCAAAACCAUGACUGGCAGUGCUUCAGCAGUAUCUAUACGUCUUUAUGCCAACAGUUGCUAGUGAAGGCAAGGAUAGGGCAUUUGUCCCAAUCCUCUGACUUUCCCCAGGAAGACUGACAACUGGGAGAGCUCAAUAUCCUUGAAAAAUAAAUGUUUAUUUUCCAACA
rnacentral:lncRNA from 1 species